GCGCCUGUAGCUCAGCUGGAUAGAGUACUGCCCUCCGAAGGCAGGGGUCGUGCGUUCGAAUCGCGCCAGGCGCG
rnacentral:tRNA from 1 species